rnacentral:rRNA from 1 species
AGCGAACGCUGGCGGCAGGCCUAACACAUGCAAGUCGAACGCCCAGCAAUGGGAGUGGCAGACGGGAUAGUAACACGUGGGAACGCGCCCUUCGGUUCGGAAUAACUCAGGGAAACUUGAGCUAAUACCGGAUACGCCUUACGGGAAGAUUAUUGCCGAAGGAACGGCCCGCGUCGGAUUAGCUAGUUGGUGAGGUAAUGGCUCACCAAGGCGACGAUCCGUAGCUGGUCUGAGA